rnacentral:rRNA from 1 species
GACGAACGCUGGCGGCGUGCCUAAUACAUGCAAGUAGAACGCUGAAGGAGGAGCUUGCUUCUCCGGAUGAGUUGCGAACGGGUGAGUAACGCGUAGGUAACCUGCCUGGUAGCGGGGGAUAACUAUUGGAAACGAUAGCUAAUACCGCAUAAGAGUAGAUAUUGCAUGAUAUCUGCUUAAGAGGUGCAAUUGCAUCACUACCAGAUGGACCUGCGUUGUAUUAGCUAGUUGGUGAGGUAACGGCUCACCAAGGCGACGAUACAUAGCCGACCUGAGAGGGUGAUCGGCCACACUGGGACUGAGACACGGCCCAGACUCCUACGGGAGGCAGCAGUAGGGAAUCUUCGGCAAUGGACGGAAGUCUGACCGAGCAACGCCGCGUGAGUGAAGAAGGUUUUCGGAUCGUAAAGCUCUGUUGUAAGAGAAGAACGAGUGUGAGAGUGGAAAGUUCACACUGUGACGGUAUCUUACCAGAAAGGGACGGCUAACUACGUGCCAGCAGCCGCGGUAAUACGUAGGUCCCGAGCGUUGUCCGGAUUUAUUGGGCGUAAAGCGAGCGCAGGCGGUUAGAUAAGUCUGAAGUUAAAGGCUGUGGCUUAACCAUAGUACGCUUUGGAAACUGUUUAACUUGAGUGCAAGAGGGGAGAGUGGAAUUCCAUGUGUAGCGGUGAAAUGCGUAGAUAUAUGGAGGAACACCGGUGGCGAAAGCGGCUCUCUGGCUUGUAACUGACGCUGAGGCUCGAAAGCGUGGGGAGCAAACAGG